rnacentral:rRNA from 1 species
AUACGUAGGGGGCGAGCGUUGUCCGGAAUGAUUGGGCGUAAAGGGCGCGUAGGCGGCCUGUUAAGUCUGGGGUGAAAGUCCUGUUUUCAAGAUGGGAAUUGCUUUGGAUACUGAUGGGCUUGAGUGCAGGAGAGGUUAUCGGAAUUCCCGGUGUAGCGGUGAAAUGCGUAGAGAUCGGGAGGAACACCAGUGGCGAAGGCGGGUAACUGGACUGCAACUGACGCUGAGGCGCGAAAGUGUGGGGAGCAAACAGGAUUAGAUACCCUGGUAGUCCACACUGUAAACGAUGAAUGCUAGGUGUAAGAGGUAUCGACCCCUUUUGUGCCGGAGUUAACACAAUAAGCAUUCCGCCUGGGGAGUACGGCCGCAAGGUUGAAACUCAAAUGAAUUGACGGGU